rnacentral:miRNA from 1 species
CCUGGACCUCGCUCUGUAGACCAGGCUGGCCUCAAACUCAUAGAGAUCCGCCUGCCUCUACCUCCUGAGUGCUGGGAU